ACUAGAAGAAAGUGAAAGUGAUUGCUGCAUUACUGUAAGUUUAGCUGACAAUAUGAUUUAAUUUAGCAAACAAAACCACUUGUAUACAGAGUUAGUAUACUCAGAGCUUCAAGAUGACCCAUCUCCUCUGCCUCUGACGCAUAAUCCAUCCUGGUCAGUUGGAACAUUUCUUUCUCUUCAGAGGCAGUUGCGUGUUGGCAUUUCUACUAAUGGCCCUAUGCCGUCCGAUGGGAGACAGCAUAGCCUAGAGACUGAGAAUGGGAACUCCUGAGUCCGAACACUUGGAUCUGAAUGCUGGCUCUACCAACCAGGGGAGAGGUUAGAUAUGUGGCCUCUGGAUUCCUGAUGAUGGACAAAUAUUCACACAUGCUGUCUACUGCUGGCAAAAUAACCCAGUGAAACUGAACAUCCAAGUAAUGAAAAUGCUAAAGAAAAAUGCCAGGAACAGAUUGCCAAGAGACGGAGGCUGUCUUCUCUGAGAAUUUGUACCUGCAAGUCUGCAUCCAGUGAAAGAAUGAGAUUUUUCUAAGAGUAACAAAUAAGAUCAGACAUCAAAAAACAAAACAAAACUUAAAACACUUUGGAGAACCCAGUCCUACUUAUAUACGUUUGUGGGGAUGGCCUUUGUGAGGAGAGUGAGAGCUGCUCCAUGUGUCUAGCUGACUAUGGGAAAUGUCUACUUCCUGUAGAUGACUGGGUGAUGAUUACCCUUCUAAUCUGCUUGGUCUCUACUGCCUCUGCCUUGACCAUUCUGGUAUGCCAUCAUUUUGAUUGCCUCAUGAAGUGACCCAAGCUUGGAAGGAAGAGGGUUCUUCUGUUAGGCAUUCCAGUGUCUCUUGAGGAGCUAAUUACAGGGAAGCCUGAGAAUCGCUGUCUUUGCCCUUCAGAGUAUGCAGAGGUAAGGGGUGAGGAGAGAAAGGGGACUUGAUCAUCAUCUGAAGCCAUCACAUCAACUAAGCAUGAGUCCAUGUUAUGUCUUGGAAAGAGAUAUAUCAAUGAGUAAUCUAUUGCAUCACGUAACAACUUCUUGGCAUUUUUCGGGCUUUUCCCAGUCUACUUCCAAAUAGAGAUGAUACAGUGGGCAAUUGGAAUAUGUGUUGGGAACUUGGAACAGAUGCUUAUAUGGAGAUGGAAAUUUGGGGCCCACCACUAUCUAAGGCUGUAAUGUAGCUAUAGA